AGAGUUGAUCCUGGCUCAGAUUGAACGCUGGCGGCGUGCCUUACACAUGCAAGUCGAACGGCAGCACGGGAGCUUGCUCCUGGUGGCGAGUGGCGAACGGGUGAGUAAUACAUCGGAACGUACCCUGAAGUGGGGGAUAACGUAGCGAAAGUUACGCUAAUACCGCAUAUUCUGUGAGCAGGAAAGAGGGGGAUCGCAAGACCUCUUGCUUUAGGAGCGGCCGAUGUCGGAUUAGCUAGUUGGUGAGGUAAAGGCUCACCAAGGCGACGAUCCGUAGCGGGUCUGAGAGGAUGAUCCGCCACACUGGGACUGAGACACGGCCCAGACUCCUACGGGAGGCAGCAGUGGGGAAUUUUUGGACAAUGGGCGCAAGCCUGAUCCAGCCAUGCCGCGUGAGUGAAGAAGGCCUUCGGGUUGUAAAGCUCUUUCAGCCGGAAAGAAAACGCACGGGUUAAUAACCUGUGUGGAUGACGGUACCGGAAGAAGAAGCACCGGCUAACUACGUG
rnacentral:rRNA from 1 species